rnacentral:sRNA from 1 species
UUCUUUCAAGGUUGAAACGUUGUGUUGC